CCCCCGGGCCCGCCCUCACAUCCCUCCUCCGGGGCUGCCUCCCGGACCCGCGUCCCACCUCCUGGACCCGCCUCUCAGCCGCGCGUCCCACCUCAGUAUCCCGCUUUCGGGGCCCAUUGCGCAUCCUAUCUCUGCAUCCCAGCCCCCGCUUGCCACUCCCGCCUCCCGGUCCCGCACCUGCGACCCAACUCCGCAUCCCCGCGUUCCAGCCCCUCGUCCCAUCCGGCGUCUCGACCCCGCGUUCCUCGGCGGGAGGGGAAAGGAGGUUUGAUGGAUUGUUGCAGCAAAGGGUGCUUGGUAGGUGAGGAAGGAGUCCUGGACGGUGGCUGUUGCAAGUGUUUGGCAAGCAGGAUCUUUCCCCACGCAAACACACACCUCUUACUAAAACUGAAUAGUGACAUCUUCUAGUCUUUCCGUGGGAAAGGAAAUGGACUGUGGCAGGCAGAUCAUGGCAGAGGAGUGAGGAGAAGAGCAUGACUCUGAAGGCCCAUGAAAGUUAGUAUUCAGUAAUUAACUUCAGUGAAUUAUGAGCAGUGCAAUAAAAUUCAGAAAAAACAUGCAAGGAAAGUUGUUUGAAUCAGUAGGAAAUGGCAAAAGGCAACUGUGGCCAUUGCAUUCAAGCAUUAAAAUGGCUUUAGGUAAUGUGUCUUAAAGUUACAUUAUUUGUAUGUCCAAUAAAAGCUGUAUUUGUUGCUU